AUGAAAAGGAAGAGAACUAAACAAGGGUGGUGUGCGGUAAAGUUGGAUAUGAUGAAGGCGUACGAUCGCGUCGAGUGGGCGUAUCUCCAAGGAAUCAUGUUGCAAUUGGGUUUCUCGGAGGAAUGGGUAUCUCUAGUUAUGAGAUGUGUCAACUCCAUUACUUUUCAAGUGAAGAUGAAUGGAGAACUGUUGCCUUCUUUCCACCCCUCCAAAGGCAUACGGCAGGGUGACCCUGUCUCCCCGUACUUGUUUCUACUUUGCGGGGAAGGGCUUUCUUGUUUGUUGAAGAACUAUGAUGCUGGAUGGGUCGAUAGAGGUAUACGGCCGGGGCUGAGGGGCCCUUGGAUCUCACAUCUCUUAUUUGCGGAUGAUUGUCUUGUUUAUGAAGGCAGACUCAAGGAGUGCACAAAGGUUGAAUGA
rnacentral:rRNA from 1 species